AUUAGUGGAGUUAAAAAUAUAAGAACUUAAAUCAACCCAAAAUGUAUUGGCUAUACUACAAUCACAAAAAAAGGGCAGCUGUUUCUUCAACAAGACCACAAAAUGGGCAAGUUUCAUCAUUAUCAAGAUACUUACAGAUAGAUGAAUUAAACCUGUCACUCAUAUCUUUUAAGUUGUUGCGCUUGUUAUAACGUCGUAGGUCACAUGAUAACGUCAACAUAGCGGAUGAUAACCGAAUCGCAUUCAUACUU